GCAUAUCAAUAAGCGGAGGAAAAGAAACUUACAAGGAUUCCCUUAGUAACGGCGAGUGAAGCGGGAUGAGCUCAAGCUUAAAAUCUCCGUGCAAUUUUUGCAUGGCGAAUUGUAGUCUAUAGAGGCGUGGUCAGUAUGAGCACUUAGGGUAAGUUCCUUGGAAGAGGACAGCAUCGAGGGUGAUACUCCCGUUCAUCCCUAAGUUGCUUGUGCGUACGACCCGUUUUCUUUGAGUCGCGUUGUUUGAGAAUGCAGCGCAAAGCAGGUGGCAAAUUCCAUCUAAAGCUAAAUAUUGGUGCGAGACCGAUAGCAUACAAGUACCGUGAGGGAAAGAUGAAAAGAACUUUGAAAAUAGAGUUAAAGAGUACCUGAAACUGCUGAAAGGGAACCAAAUCGUUUCCAGUGUCUAUAAUCCAUGGUAUAUUCCAUUGGCGAGCGUGUGUGUGCGUGUGCUUUUGCAGUGGCCUUUUGGUUGCGCUAGGCGUGUGUGUGCGUGUGCUUGCUGGUGCCCUGUGCUGUGGUGGGACGUCAAGGUCAGUUCGUAUGCUGCGGGAAAUGGCUACCGAGGAGGUAGGGCUUACGCUUGCGUUUGUCUGUUAUAUCUUGGUAGACGAGUAGUCGCGGUUGGGACUGAGGUGCCUAUAACGUGCUUUUGAGUGGACUUGCGUCUCUGUGUGCGCUGUGUGCGGAUAGCUUGCUAUGCGUGUGUGGCUGUGUGUGGAUUGAUGCGAGUCGUAACUUGUAGCCGUUCGGGACGUUGACGAAAUGGAACGAUUUGACCCGUCUUGAAACACGGACC
rnacentral:rRNA from 1 species